rnacentral:rRNA from 1 species
ACAUGCAGUCGAGCGGUCAUGAUGGGAGCUUGCUCCCUGAUGUUAGCGGCGGACGGGUGAGUAACACGUGGGUAACCUGCCUGUAAGACUGGGAUAACUCCGGGAAACCGGGGCUAAUACCGGAUGCUUGUUUGAACCGCAUGGUUCAAACAUAAAAGGUGGCUUCGGCUACCACUUACAGAUGGACCCGCGGCGCAUUAGCUAGUUGGUGAGGUAAUGGCUCACCAAGGCAACGAUGCGUAGCCGACCUGAGAGGGUGAUCGGCCACACUGGGACUGAGACACGGCCCAGACUCCUACGGGAGGCAGCAGUAGGGAAUCUUCCGCAAUGGACGAAAGUCUGACGGAGCAACGCCGCGUGAGUGAUGAAGGUUUUCGGAUCGUAAAGCUCUGUUGUUAGGGAAGAACAAGUACCGUUCGAAUAGGGCGGUACCUUGACGGUACCUAACCAGAAAGCCACGGCUAAACUACGUGCCAGCAGCCGCGGUAAUACGUAGGUGGCAAGCGUUGUCCGGAAAUUAUUGGGCGUAAAGGGCUCGCAGGCGGUUUCUUAAGUCUGAUGUGAAAGCCCCCGGCUCAACCCGGGGAGGGUCAUUGGAAAACUGGGGAACUUGAGUGCAGAGGAGGAGAGUGGAAUUCCACGUGUAGCGUGAAAUGCGUAGAGAUGUGAAGGAACACCAGUGGCGAAGGCGACUCUCUGGUCUGUAACUGACGCUGAGGAGCGAAAGCGUGGGGAGCGAACAGGAUUAGAUACCCUGUAGUCCA